rnacentral:tRNA from 1 species
GGGGGCAGCAAUUGGUCCGCAUCAUUAGAGUCGAGAUCUGAUGAUAGGGGUUCGAUUCCCCUUGCCUCCACCA